CCCAAUAAAGCCGUAUCAACUCGAACCCUAGAAGGCCCACCACCACCUUGCGCCUCCCCAACCCCCGCCGCUCCGGCGACGGCGCCGCCGCCGCCGCCGCCUGGCGGUGGAACCUGCCGGACCAUAUAAUUGAGCAAUAGCAUGCUACUUCCUUCAUUUUCGGUCAAAGGCUGAUGCAAAAGAAGGAAGCCUAGGUGAAGUUGAACAGUGAUCUAUGAGUACAGUGUUACAGCUAGAUGAUAGUCUGACAUUGAUCAUGUGACUCGUUUACUAUAGUAAUAUGCCCAUGGUUCUGUUUUUCCAUCAGGCGUCUACUUUACUAUGGAAUGCCUAGGUCUUUCUUUGCAUCUAUAUGCAUUUUCAAUACUCUACAUGUUAUAAUUUACAAGGCAAUCCUUUUGUCCCUUCCAUUAUGUUCCGUAUCAUUAAAUUUAAAGAUUUAUGUUGUCUAUUCCAUUUGCCAGAUGAUUUAAAUCUCUAUUUUUUUAGUAGAUGCAUGACCUAGUACCUACAAAAGCUUAAUGCACGGUGGCCUUGUACCCACUCAAGUUAGGACCAGCCACAGGUCAUAGCGUUUUGUGCUGGCCUGCAAGGCCUUAAUGUUUGUCGUAAGUUUGGUCCUGACUCCUGAACCACGUAGGUUGUUUAAUUUUGUUUCAGCUUUCCUUGGUUGUCUUUGAUAAUAAUACUAAGACACUUGCUUUGCAGAUAAAAAAUAUAUAAAAAAGUUAUGUCUUGAUAAUGAUAUGAUCUCCUUUUGCAUGGAUAGAUUGAUUGUGACUCCAAAUUUUUUCCCCCUGUGUAUGAUUGAUCUACCUUCCUGUUGUCAUGCUCAGGAAGGGAGACGAGGACUAGGCAGCUGCAUUGCUGUGACCUGCC